rnacentral:rRNA from 1 species
CCUGCCCAAGAGAUCGGGAUAACACCUGGAAACAGAUGCUAAUACCGGAUAACAACAGAUGAUGCCUAUCAACUGUUUAAAAGAUGGUUCUGCUAUCACUCUUGGAUGGACCUGCGGUGCAUUAGCUAGUUGGUAGGGUAACGGCCUACCAAGGCGAUGAUGCAUAGCCGAGUUGAGAGACUGAUAGGCCACAUUGGGACUGAGACACGGCCCAAACUACUACGGGAGGCAGCAGGU